rnacentral:rRNA from 1 species
GUGACUAAUAAUCAUGGUUCAUGACGGUAUCAACAGAAGAAGCACCGGCUAACUACGUGCCAGCAGCCGCGGUAAUACGUAGGGUGCAAGCGUUAAUCGGAAUUACUGGGCGUAAAGGGUGCGCAGGCGGUUCUGUAAGUCAGAUGUGAAAUCCCCGGGCUUAACCUGGGAACUGCGUUUGAAACUGCAGAGCUAGAGUGCGGCAGAGGGAGGUGGAAUUCCAUGUGUAGCAGUGAAAUGCGUAGAGAUAUGGAAGAACAUCGAUGGCGAAGGCAACCUCCUGGGCUAGCACUGACGCUCAUGCACGAAAGCGUGGGGAGCAAACAGGAUUAGAUACCCUGGUAGUCCACGCCCUAAACUAUGUCAACUAGUUGUCGGGCCUUAAUAGGCUUGGUAACGUAGCUAACGCGUGAAGUUGACCGCCUGGGGAGUACGGUCGCAAGAUUAAAACUCAAAGGAAUUGACGGGG